UGAGUUGGAAAGUGAGCUGCGUGCAGGGGCUCUACGUGUUUGUGAGUGUGAGUUGGAAAGUGAGCUGCGUGCAGGGGCUCUACGUGUUUGAAGGUGUGAGUUGGAAAGUGAGCUGCGUGCAGGGGCUCUACGUGUUUGAGGGUGUGAGCUGGAAAGUGAGCUGCGUGCAGGGGCUCUACGUGUUUGAGGGUGUGAGCUGGAAAGUGAGCUGCGUGCAGGGGCUCUACGUGUUUGAGGGUGUGAGUUGGAAUGUGAGCUGCGUGCAGGGGCUCUACGUGUUUGAGGGUGUGAGUUGGAAGCAGACGUUACAACCAAAGCAAGGUUUCUCAAACAACUGUGUGUUUGUAGUGACGUAUGCUCUGUACAUUGCAAUGGAGCACAGUGCGAUUUCACUGGGAAAAACAUGCAGCAAAUUAGGCGAUGGUGGUGCCUAGUUCUCCUGCAGAACUUUCCCAUGCCGUCUAAAGAAGAGAGGUUGAAAGAACGAAAACAAAACACUACAGGAUGAUGUAGAAGAUGUCCCCCGUCCGUCCCCCAAGAAGUCACAACAUGUCACAUUAGCAUCCAGCUCUGCAGGAUCAGAUGAUAUUGACAGCAAAAUGCAUGGAGAACUGGGAGCUGUGAACUGGGAAGCAGAUGUUCUUCUAAGGGACACCCUAGAGGCAGCAAGGUGGUGUGAACCUCCAAAAAGAUGUUCUUCUAAGGGACACCCUAGAGGCAGCAAGGUGAUGUGAACUCCAAACACUUAAAGGCAUGGUUUCCCUCCCUAGUGUAAUUGGGAUGGACGGGGAAGACCACAAUACAAUCCUUAAAGAACUACGGUUGUAUGAUGGCCUGGACGAAGAAGAAAAUAUUAUCCCCAGGGAACCAUUCAUGUUACAGAGAGAUGAUGAGAUGUUCUGUGUGGAGUCAGUUGACAACAAGAAAAUGACUGUCUUUGCCUCUUGAGGAACAGGGUUGAAGCCAUUUUUGAGGAGUGGUCAAACCUUGUUUUUGUCUGCUGGGUUAAUCGUUUCAAUUGUUAAUUGUGUUAUGUUGUUUAGUAAAGAUGAUGUAGCGUCUCUGAUCUCUUUACUGGA